GCGUUGUCUGCAGACCGAACAAGAAAAGCUGGUGGCUGUACAGUGAGGUGGGUGGAGGCGUGAGUUGCACCUGGCAGGGCCCAGAUUCCGUGCAGCCGCCUUUGCAGUAGGUGCCCACCGGCCACAGCGUCUUGAAGGCAAGUUUAUGGAGAAAUGCGGUCUUCCUUGGAGGAAAAGCUGGUGAGGGCACAGGCCAGCCAAAACUCUCACCACCUGCCCUGAUGAAGAAGACUGAAGGGAAAGCUUCAGUGCCCUUGAACACAGAUAUCUCCGUCUCCUGCAAGGAGCCCCAUGUGACCCUAGGCAUCAUGGAAUAUCCUUAUUCUAAAAAUCUCCAAGUGAAAUGACUGAAUCUAAUCUGAAGUUAUUUCUGAGCUGCCCCAGCUGGUGAAGACUCCAGAAAUGGAAAGACCCAG
rnacentral:lncRNA from 1 species